AGGGGUAGUGUGUGUGUACUAUCUGCAGUCCCAGCAUAUGUGUGUGUGUGUGUGUGUGUGUGUGUGUGUGUGUGUGUGUGUGUGUGUGUGUGUGUGUAAUUUGCAGUCCCAUUGUGUAUAUGUGUGUGUGUGCGGGGGGUGAGCAUGUGUGUAAUGUAUUCUGCAGUUUAAGUGUCUGUGUGUGUGGGGUGGGGGGGACAGUCUGCGGUCCCAGUGUGUGUUUGUAAUUUGCAGUCAUGGUGUGGUGGGGCAGACUGCAGUCCCAGUGUGUGUGUGUAUGUACAGUCUGCAGUCCCAGUGUGUGUGCGGGGGCAUUUUAUUUAUAUAUCACACACACACACGCCCCCCAUCCUACCAAAUCCUGUGUUUGCCCUUGCAGUGGACGAUGAGGGUGCUGCUACAGGAGCUCGGAGUUGUUGCACUGCUGUUCGGGAUCUUUCUAUUCCUGUUUGAAAAAUGCGAACAUUUUUUUUUUGGAUAUGUGUUAGGAUUAACUAUUGCCUCCCCAGACCCAAGAUUGUGAUGAAGACCUGAAGAGGAUUGGCAUGACUAACAAAAAUGGGAAUCAUCAAGAAGAAACUACACACAGAGAAAUCCAGCAACAUAAUAUAGAAAUGAUAAAAACAGAUUACAGAAGACAGCCAUUACUGAACUGCAAUUUUAUUAGUAUGCAAGCUCAAAGGAACAGAACAAGAAUUAAUAAACAAAGACUAGGCAUUGCAAUAAAUAGGAUCCCCGAUACUAAGGAUCAAAGUCAAAGAAACUUGUCCAAGUCUUCUAAACAUUAAAAAAUAGAAACAGUAAAAAGAAACA